UACGGAGGGUGCGAGCGUUGUCCGGAAUCACUGGGCGUAAAGGGCGCGUAGGCGGCUUUAUAAGUCGGGGGUGAAAGCCUGUGGCUCAACCACAGAAUUGCCUUCGAUACUGUAGAGCUUGAGACCGGAAGAGGUAAGUGGAACUGCGAGUGUAGAGGUGAAAUUCGUAGAUAUUCGCAAGAACACCAGUGGCGAAGGCGGCUUACUGGUCCGGUUCUGACGCUGAGGCGCGAAAGCGUGGGGAGCAAACAGG
rnacentral:rRNA from 1 species